rnacentral:rRNA from 1 species
UGGGGAAUAUUGCACAAUGGGCGAAAGCCAGAUGCAGCGACGCCGCGUGCGGGAUGAAGGCCUUCGGGUUGUAAACCGCUUUUAAUUGGGAGCAAGCGAGAGUGAGUGUACCUUUUGAAUAAGCACCGGCUAACUACGUGCCAGCAGCCGCGGUAAUACGUAGGGUGCAAGCGUUAUCCGGAAUUAUUGGGCGUAAAGAGCUCGUAGGCGGUUUGUCACGCCUGGUGUGAAAGUCCAUCGCUUAACGGUGGAUCUGCGCCGGGUACGGGCAGGCUAGAGUGCAGUAGGGGAGAUUGGAAUUCCCGGUGUAACGGUGGAAUGUGUAGAUAUCGGGAAGAACACCAAUGGCGAAGGCAGAUCUCUGGGCUGUUACUGACGCUGAGGAGCGAAAGCAUGGGGAGCGAACAGGAUUAGAUACCCGUGGUAGUCCAUGCCGUAAACGGUGGAUGCUGGAUGUGGGACCCUUCCACGGGUUCCGUGUCGGAGCUAACGCGUUAAGCAUCCCGCCUGGGGAGUACGGCCGCAAGGCUAAAACUCUAAAGUGAAUUGAC